rnacentral:ncRNA from 2 species
GCGGCGGGUAGAAUCCUUUGCAGAC